AGUGAACGCUGGCGGUAGGCCUAACACAUGCAAGUCGAACGGCAGCACAGUAAGAGCUUGCUCUUACGGGUGGCGAGUGGCGGACGGGUGAGGAAUACAUCGGAAUCUACUUUUUCGCGGGGGAUAACGUAGGGAAACUUACGCUAAUACCGCAUACGACCUACGGGUGAAAGCAGGGGAUCUUCGGACCUUGCGCGAUUGAAUGAGGCGAUGUCGGAUUAGCUAGUUGGCGGGGUAAAGGCCCACCAAGGCUACGAUCCGUAGCUGGUCUGAGAGGAUGAUCAGCCACACUGGAACUGAGACACGGUCCAGACUCCUACGGGAGGCAGCAGUGGGGAAUAUUGGACAAUGGGCGCAAGCCUGAUCCAGCCAUACCGCGUGGGUGAAGAAGGCCUUCGGGUUGUAAAGCCCUUUUGUUGGGAAAGAAAAGCAGCAGGUUAAUACCCCGCUGUUCUGACGGUACCCAAAGAAUAAGCACCGGCUAACUUCGUG
rnacentral:rRNA from 1 species